rnacentral:rRNA from 1 species
AGUGAACGCUGGCGGUAGGCCUAACACAUGCAAGUCGAACGGAAGCACAGUAAGAGCUUGCUCUUACGGGUGGCGAGGGACGGACGGGUGAGGCAUACAUAGGAAUCUAAUUUUUCGUGGGGAAUAUCGUGGGAAAACUUACGCUACUACCUCAUACGUCCUACGGGAGAAAUCAAAGGUUCUUCGGGCCUUGCCCGUUUCAAUGAGACGAUGUCGGAUUAGCUAGUUGGCGGGGUAAAGGCACACCAAGGCAACGAUCCGUAGCUGGUCUGAGAGGAUGAUCAGCCACACUGGAACUGAGACACGGUCCAGACUCCUACGGGAGGCAGCAGUAGGGAAUCUUGCACAAUGGGCGAAAGCCUGACCGAGCAACGCCGCGUGGGUGAUGAAGGUCUUCGGAUUGUAAAGCUCUGUUGUUAGGAAAGAAAAGAAGUAUGUGAAACCCCCGAUGUUCUGACGGUACCUAAAGAAAAAGCAACGGCUAACUUCGUG